UACGUAGGGUGCAAGCGUUGUCCGGAUUUAUUGGGCGUAAAGAGCUCGUAGGCGGUUCAACACGUCGGAUGUGAAAACACGGUGCUUAACACCGUGCCUGCAUUCGAUACGGUCGAACUAGAGGAUGGCAGGGGAAACUGGAAUUCCUGGUGUAGCGGUGGAAUGCGCAGAUAUCAGGAGGAACACCGGUGGCGAAGGCGGGUUUCUGGGCCAUUACUGACGCUGAGGAGCGAAAGCGUGGGGAGCAAACAGG
rnacentral:ncRNA from 2 species